rnacentral:rRNA from 1 species
GACGAACGCUGGCGGCGUGCCUAACACAUGCAAGUCGGACGGGCUUGAGGGGCAACUCUCAAGUCAGUGGCGAACGGGUGCGUAACACGUGAGCAACCUGCCCUCAGGUGGGGGAUAGCCGGCCCAACGGCCGGGUAAUACCGCAUACCGCCCCGAGGUCUCAUGACCAUGGGGUAAAAGCAGCCGCAAGGUUGCGCCGGGAGAGGGGCUCGCGGCCUAUCAGCUAGUUGGUGGGGUAACGGCUCACCAAGGCGACGACGGGUAGCUGGUCUGAGAGGAUGGCCAGCCACAUUGGGACUGAGAAACGGCCCAGACUCCUACGGGAGGCAGCAGUGGGGAAUAUUGCGCAAUGGCCGCAAGGCUGACGCAGCGACGCCGCGUGUGGGAUGAAGGCCU